AGGUCUGCCGAGGUCCCGCGGCAGGAGAGCCCGGGGACUGCAUGCGUCUGCGCAGCUGCGAGGUUAAGCCGCCCUUUGGCGGUCCCCAGGACGGUUCCUGGUGCCAGACGGUCCCAGGCCUGGGCAAGGUGGCUUAUGCCUGUAAUCCCAGCACUUUAGGAGACCGAGGCAGGUGGAUCACUUGAGGCCAGGAGUUUGAGACCAGCCUGGCCGUGGUGAAACCCCGAAUCUACUAAAAAUAUAAAAAUUGGCCGAGCAUGGCGGCUCAUGCCUGUAAUCCCAGCUACUUGGGAGGAUGAGGCAGAAGAAUGGCUUGAACCUGGGAGGUGGAGGUUGCAGUGAGCCGAGAUCUCACCACUGCACUCCAGCCUGGGCGACAGAGUGAGACUGUCUCAAAAAAAAAUUUUUGUUAUUAUAAUAAACUGUAUUUUGUGCAAGCCAUUUUA